AAACUUUCCUCAACACAUGGUAGUAACCUGUCUGACCCAAGCAAAGAAGAAAACCAGGUUGGCGUGUGAUGCCUGGUGGUGGGGCAAACCCAAGGUGGAGGGCAGAGCUGGAGUGAGCACAGCAGAACAGAAGGUGGUCAAUUCCCUUUCUUGGAGUAGCUUGUGUGAAGAAAACAGGUGGACAGCCUGGUGAGAGGGAAUGCCAGAUCCCAUCCUUCCCCACGGCUAAGCCGCCCUCAGGCCAGCCCUGGCUGGGAGCCCACCACUUCCUCCAUGUCCAUAAAGAGCUCCGGAGACCUGCAGGAAAAGCCUCUGUCCUGCAUCUGCUUGGACACACCAGCUCUCUAACCACAGAGAGGCCGCUUACAGACACUUCCUCCAGAUACCUGGCUCAGCUGGUCUUGAACACUCCUGCCAAGGAGUGACUCGGGCAGCCAGUAACCACAUGAAAAACCUUGCCUGUUGUUUUGACACUCGUGGCUCUUGGGAAGAUGGCAACUGUUGGAAAGGAUUGUAUGCACUUCUGAGAUUUUAUGUACCUAAUCUUUUAAAAAUAGGCCCUGGGUUUGCUAAAGCGGAUAAUGUCACCUAGUUUGAACUUGAUGAAAGCAUAGAAAAGCAAUUUAAACACUUGUAUGGUUCUCCAAGCAUAAGCACAUGGACAGAUUUUUGAGAGGAUCUGCUGAAACCUCCUGAAAUUUGUAUUUCAUCACAGAUAAAUGUGCAUUGUUGUUUCGAGAACUUGAUUAUUAGAUCAUCAGGGCUGUAACUAACAACAAGAGUUUUACCUGCGCUUAAAAGUGAAAUAAAUAAAUAAAUAAAUAAAUAAAUAAAUAAAUAAAUAAGUAGGCAAAAAUGCCUUAAUAGUAAAAACAAGAUAUCUCAGAAAAUGGAUAUUGUGGUAUUAUGUACUCAAACUAGUAAUACAAGUAUACUUUUUAUCAUAAGAAUUCAUAGUCCUUUCUGGAUUUUUAUGAGGUGCCCUGUACACGUAAUUUGCUUUGCAAUCUCUUUCUGCCCUAAAUUGAAAAAAUUAGGAAUUAGGAAAGCAGGUACUGAUGCGAUUAAUAGAAAAUAGCAUCUAUGGUUCAAUUUCAUAGAAUAAUUUAUGCAGUUAAGGAGAAGUGAGGGGUACUGGAGACAGCAAUGUCGAGAAGUCAGACACAGCUGGUGCCAUUUCUGCCUCUGCUGCUAAUUGCUGUGUACUUUGGGACAGUUACUUAACAUCUCUGAGCCUUUCAGUCUUGUCUUCUAUAAAAUGGAGACAAUAAAAACUACUUUGGAAGAUAAUCGAGGGGACAGUGACACAUAGCAGCCACUCCUUAAGGGCAUUGUUUAUUAUCAUUAAUAACAGGGAAGAUAAUUGUCAACCAAGAGCCAAAUGUACUUUCUUUGAGUGUUAAAUAAUUAGGUUCCUAAACUGAAGUUGGUUCCAGUUGCUAAAAUGUGAAUUCAGCCAUCACGACUUUGGAUUACAGAGAUUUCUUUAUAUCCAGUAGGACACUAAUAGUUGGGAGUUUCUAGGUAAUUUUAUAAUAUGAAAUCAGUGCUUGGUGUGUGGAAAUAUCACCCCCAGAGUUGGACACAUUGUGGGUCCCUGAGCAAGUCUUUCAGCUACACUCUGCCACAGUGUUAUUAUUUCUCAAAUGCUGGAGAUGGGGAGCUACUUUCAGGCUAAAAUUAAAAGACAUCAUGGUUUUGUUUUGGAAAAACCGAUUCAUCAAUAUGUUUUUUUUUCCAUGGCUAUAAAAAGUAUUUGAAAACGAAACAAAAUAAAGUAGUAAAAAAUCUUGGUAUGUAUUUUUUCCUUGGAUAAUGAGGCUCUCAUUCAAGUGCUCUUGGAAAAGAUUAUUUUGUGCUCUGGUCAAGGUGGCCUACUUUUUUUGUGUGUUGAAGGGCUUUGCAAUUAGAAGUUAUUUGUAUUUUCCCAGGGAGUGUCCACUUUGGGAAGAAAGAAAAUUAUAUGCCUGAAGAAUAUGGUUGGCCAAUUUAUUGUUGUUUAUGUCUGUGCUAGACCUAAAAGGAAAUACAUAGAAUUCAAGUU